UCCUACGGGAGGCAGCAGUGGGGAAUAUUGCACAAUGGGCGCAAGCCUGAUGCAGCGACGCCGGGUGAGGGAUGACGGCCUUCGGGUUGUAAACCUCUUUCAGUAGGGAAGAAGCGAAAGUGACGGUACCUGCAGAAGAAGCACCGGCUAACUACGUGCCAGCAGCCGCGGUAAUACGUAGGGUGCGAGCGUUAUCCGGAAUUAUUGGGCGUAAAGAGCUCGUAGGCGGUUUGUCGCGUCUGUCGUGAAAGUCCGGGGCUUAACCCCGGAUCUGCGGUGGGUACGGGCAGACUAGAGUGCAGUAGGGGAGACUGGAAUUCCUGGUGUAGCGGUGGAAUGCGCAGAUAUCAGGAGGAACACCGAUGGCGAAGGCAGGUCUCUGGGCUGUAACUGACGCUGAGGAGCGAAAGCAUGGGGAGCGAACAGGAUUAGAUACCCUGGUAGUCCAUGCCGUAAACGUUGGGCACUAGGUGUGGGGACCAUUCCACGGUUUCCGCGCCGCAGCUAACGCAUUAAGUGCCCCGCCUGGGGAGUACGGCCGCAAGGCUAAAACUCAAAGGAAUUGACGGGGGCCCGCACAAGCGGCGGAGCAUGCGGAUUAAUUCGAUGCAACGCGAAGAACCUUACCAAGGCUUGACAUGUUCUCGAUCGCCGUAGAGAUACGGUUUCCCCUUUGGGGCGGGUUCACAGGUGGUGCAUGGUUGUCGUCAGCUCGUGUCGUGAGAUGUUGGGUUAAGUCCCGCAACGAGCGCAACCCUCGUUCCAUGUUGCCAGCACGUAGUGGUGGGGACUCAUGGGAGACUGCCGGGGUCAACUCGGAGGAAGGUGAGGACGACGUCAAAUCAUCAUGCCCCUUAUGUCUUGGGCUUCACGCAUGCUACAAUGGCCGGUACAAUGGGUUGCGAUACUGUGAGGUGGAGCUA
rnacentral:rRNA from 1 species